GGUCUCGUAGCUCAACUGGAUAGAGCAGCUGCCUUCUAAGCAGCAGGUUUCAGGUUCGAGUCCUGACGGGAUCA
rnacentral:tRNA from 1 species